UCUGGCCAGUCCUGUUCCCCCAGCAGCCUUGUCUGGCCUGGGGGAAGGAAGCUGAACUGGACCCAUUGCCUCUUCAAAGCCGGAAACCAAAGAGACAAAGAAAUUCCCGGGCUUAGGUCUUAAGGUCUAGUUUGCUUUAGCUCACACAGAUGAAACUACAGAAGCAAAUUAUCAAGGCCUUCCAGCCCCAUGUUUCAGGGCAGGGGGUUUUCAGACACUGGGAUGUAAGACAGAGGCUGCAGAGUGGCAUGUUCUCAAGAUGGAUCUGGCACAAGCUCUCUGUGCAGCAGAUGAUACUCCAGAGCAUGCUGCUAAUUGCUCCUGGUUCAGCAUCUGAGACUGGUAUGUGUAGCAUUGAGGAAAAAAGGGACCAGUGUGGAGGCCUGGAUGCUCUCAGAAGGAUGUUGCAAAUCAACAUGGGGGACAGGUGCAUAUGCAUUAGCUUGUGCCAACCAAUCCUCAGCAUGUAACUUCUAAAAACUUAAGAAGUAAACUAAUUGCAAAUACUGCAACUCAA